AGAGAGAGAGAGAGAGAGAGAGAGAGAGAGAGAGGUUAAGGAGGAGGGGGUUCGUAGUACACUACACUGCACACACACACACUAUAACUCUCUCUCUCUCUCUCUCUCUGCUUUUCUAUGC
rnacentral:miRNA from 1 species